UAUUACGUAGAUCGAAACGACCAGCGUAAUUAUUAUUACGUUUCCGAUCAGUUUGUCGGUCGUCGUCAAUUUCGACGCAACGAGCAUACGAGUUACAUACCUGUGAGAGAGUUCCGUGUCGUUGAAGUGAUUGAAAAAAAACCUUCGAGGACAAAGCGUCUUCCGAGAGGAGAAUUACGUAAGGUUGCGAUGCAGGUUCGCGGGUUGCAAAAGCACUUCGAAUUUAUAUGAAACCACCGAGAGCGUCGUGAAAGUCCUGCAAGUAGGCGAGAAGUUGUGGCAUCGUUGGUCGAUCCCUCGAAAGGCCAAGCCAACAGACGGCCAUAACAGCGAAGAGCUCGUCGGGACAAGGUCUUGGUUGUGCCAAUCGAUAUCCAUCUCGAAGACAGGCCAUCAUUUCGAAUGGAUCAACUUCAACGUAUGGUUGCUGACCCAACGUUGCUAAUUCCCAGAGGAAUACGCCGAAGGACCACUUGAUGAAGACAGAACAAUUUCAGUGAGCUCGGUAUAUAAAAUAAUUACCGCUCAUUCAUUUUGAUUUAAACUCUAUACUAUUGCGGCAUUUGAGAGACUCGUCGUUUUAAAGAUUAAUAUAAAAUUAUUAAGAAAGGAUCUAUAAAUGUUAUAUCUAAUAAAAAAAAUAUAUAUAUGUGAUAAAUAAGCGAUCAAGGAAACAUUGGCCAAUACUAUAACAGACUAUCGUCAAUGAAAAAAAUCGUACCACGUCCGUCGCAGUGCUAUACUGAUUGUG